GCCCAGAUUCCUCUAUGCCCUGCCCAUAAACUAUCAUGAAACUCCUUUAAUAAUUUUAGUUUUUCUUCCCUUUUGCCUAUCACUCGUUGUGGCAUCCCAAUUCCUUUCUUUGGUCUCUUCCAUAAGAAUCCAUCUCGAAGUAAAAAUCCAUAUGUUUUUUUUCUUAUUUGUUUGAAUUUUUCUGUAGACCAAUUCCCCUGCUUACACAAGGUAUUCAAAUAAUGACCAAUAUCCAAUAAUUCUCCUUCAUAAGAUUCUUCAAGAAAUAGCUUGUC
rnacentral:lncRNA from 1 species